CCUAUUAUAUCUAAGUAUGUGAACUUCCAAGUAAACAGGUAGUUCUAGUUAUGACUCAUAAAUUGGUCAUAGAUAGUUAAAGUUUAAAGUUCAAGUUUUGCCCCUUUAAAUUUAGAGUGUGCACUAGGAAAGUAUGCGCCAGUUGAACUGAUGGAACGCUUUUUUAGGGAUACAAAUUCAGUUACCAUAUCAAAUAAAC
rnacentral:lncRNA from 1 species